UUGACCGUCAAGUGGUUGUUGAGAAGACGACUUUGCCCAUAACCUUUUGUGGUCAAUU
rnacentral:pre_miRNA from 1 species